UGACCGCUGGCGGCAGGCCUCACACAUGCACGUCGAGCGGAUGAAGGGAGCUUGCUCCUGGAUUCAGCGGCGGACGGGUGAGUAAUGCCUAGGAAUCUGCCUGGUAGUGGGGGAUAACGUCCGGAAACGGGCGCUAAUACCGCAUACGUCCUGAGGGAGAAAGUGGGGGAUCUUCGGACCUCACGCUAUCAGAUGAGCCUAGGUCGGAUUAGCUAGUUGGUGGGGUAAAGGCCUACCAAGGCGACGAUCCGUAACUGGUCUGAGGGGAUGAUCAGUCACACUGGAACUGAGACACGGUCCAGACUCCUACGGGAGGCAGCAGUGGGGAAUAUUGGACAAUGGGCGAAAGCCUGAUCCAGCCAUGCCGCGUGUGUGAAGAAGGUCUUCGGAUUGUAAAGCACUUUAAGUUGGGAGGAAGGGCAGUAAGUUAAUACCUUGCUGUUUUGACGUUACCAACAGAAUAAGCACCGGCUAACUUCGUG
rnacentral:rRNA from 1 species